CUACGGGUUGCUCCAGUGAGGAAUAUUGCACAAUGGGGGGAACCCUGAUGCAGCAACGCCGCGUGGAGGAUGACGCAUUUCGGUGUGUAAACUCCUUUUAUAUGUCAAGAAAAUGACGGUAGCAUAUGAAUAAGCACCGGCUAACUCCGUGCCAGCAGCCGCGGUAAUACGGAGGGGCAAGCGUUACUCGGAAUCACUGGGCGUAAAGGACGCGUAGGCGGGUUGUCAAGUCAGGUGUGAAAUCCUACAGCUUAACUGUAGAACUGCACUUGAAACUGGCAACCUAGAGUAUGGGAGGGGGAGAUGGAAUUAGUGGUGUAGGGGUAAAAUCCGUAGAUAUCACUAGGAAUACCGAAAGCGAAGGCGAUCUCCUGGAACAUUACUGACGCUAAGGCGUGAAAGCGUGGGGAGCAAACAGGAUUAGAUACCCGGGUAGUC
rnacentral:rRNA from 1 species